GGCGAGGUAGCAAAGAGGUUAUGCAGCGGCCUGCAAAGCCGUUUAGACGGGUCGAUUCCCGUCCUCGCCUCCA
rnacentral:tRNA from 1 species